GUGGCUCAGUGGCAGAGCACUUGCCUAGCAUGUAUGAGGCACUGGGUUCAAUUCUCAGC
rnacentral:tRNA from 1 species